AUCCCUUGCAUGCGCAGUUCACUUUAGGGUUCAUGCUCCUAUGAGAAUCUAAUGCCACUGCUGAUCUGACAGGAGGCAGAGCUCAGGUAGUAAGGCUCCCUCGUCCACUGCUCACCUCCUACUGUGUGGCCCAGUUCUUAACAGGCCACGGGCCACUGCCCAGGGGUUGGGGACCCCUGAAUAAAGGAAUUCCAGGAUGGUGAAGUUAGUAAAACAAGAUAAAGAAAUAUUUGUAGAAAUAAUGACUGCAACUUUGAUUCUGCUGCUUUUUAAAAAUGAUUGAAUUCACUGUUUUCAACAUUUAUUUUGUGCCCACAAUGUGCCUACUCUGUUCAGAGCUGUGAAUAAGACAGACGAGAUUCCUGUUGCCCUGGAGUUUAAAUUCUAGCCUACCACAGGCCAACAAACAACAAAAAAGGUUGUGAAUGAUAGGUGCGUUGUUGACAAUAAAACUGCGUAAUGUGAGAGAGAAUAGAGUGGGCACUAUUUAAAUCAGUGCUCAGAGAAAUCUCCUCUGAAGGGGUGGGAUUUAAGCAGAGACUUAAAUGGCAAGAGGGACCCAUCCAUGUGAAAAUCUGGAGGAAGAGCAUCCCAGGUGGAAGGAGUGAGCAUGGCAUGUUAAAAGAACAGAAGGAAGAAUGUGGCUGGGGCCUGCACAGCGAAGAUUUGAUGGAUGUUUCCUGAGGUCCUACUGUGUACCAGCUGUGGCCGUGUUAACUACCAGGAAUACGAAGAUGAAUAAGGAGGUCACAAGUGAAAACAGAAACACCAAGAUAAACUUGGCCCAGGUUCUCUUGGGAAUUCUCAGGAUCCUACCUGGUGCAGCAAAUCACACCAGGGAGAUGUUACUGGAUCUUUGAUGAGUGGAGCAUCCACAGAGGAAGGAAGUGACGUUGCAACAGGAGGGAGCUCUCCCCGCUAGCCAGGCAGCGGCAAGAGUGUCUCUGCAGGUAGCCAAGGUGACGCUGGCAGCCAGGGAGGCAGCAGUUGGGACAGCUCUGGCAAGAACAUCUCACUGGCUGCCCCGGGAGAGGGCCUGGGCCCUGGGCCAGGACAUGGAUAGGCCUGGAUCAUUCUGCUGAUUGAGCCAAACAGCAUUAAAAAUAAUUGCAGAAUGGAAAUGACUUUGGUGCAUUUUUUCUGGCAAUAAAAAAAAUACAGAUAUAUCAGGGGAAAAAAUGCUGAAAAUGUCUAAGAAGAAAAUUAAAUUUCCCUAUUAAUUUUCCCAUCACAUGUUUGUAUAAUAAUAAAGAGGUCAUUAAAAAAUUUAAUUAUAUAAAUUAUCUGGGAAUAUCUUCUUAUUAAAAAAAUC